GGAGGGUAUAGCUCAGUGGUAGAGCUCUCGAUUGCAGAUUGAGAGGAAUCUGGUUCAAACCCGUGUGUCCCCU